rnacentral:rRNA from 1 species
UACGGAGGGGGCUAGCGUUGUUCGGAAUUACUGGGCGUAAAGCGCACGUAGGCGGCUUGGUAAGUUAGAGGUGAAAGCCCGGAGCUCAACUCCGGAACUGCCUUUAAAACUGCAUCGCUUGAAUCCAGGAGAGGUGAGUGGAAUUCCGAGUGUAGAGGUGAAAUUCGUAGAUAUUCGGAAGAACACCAGUGGCGAAGGCGGCUCACUGGACUGGUAUUGACGCUGAGGUGCGAAAGCGUGGGGAGCAAACAGG